rnacentral:rRNA from 1 species
CCUACGGGUGGCAGCAGUGAGGAAUAUUGGUCAAUGGGCGGAAGCCUGAACCAGCCAAGUAGCGUGCAGGAUGACGGCCCUACGGGUUGUAAACUGCUUUUAUACGGGAAUAACGCGCCUUACGUGUACGGCUUUGCGUGUACCUUAUGAAUAAGGAUCGGCUAAUUCCGUGCCAGCAGCCGCGGUAAUACGGAAGGUCCGGGCGUUAUCCGGAUUUAUUGGGUUUAAAGGGAGCGUAGGCCGGAUGUUAAGUGAGCUGUGAAAUGUCCGGGCUCAACCCGGGCCUUGCAGCGCGAACUGGCAUGCUUGAGUCCGCGGAAAGCAGGCGGAAUGCGUCGUGUAGCGGUGAAAUGCUUAGAUAUGACGAAGAACCCCGAUUGCGAAGGCAGCUUGCUGGAGCGAAACUGACGCUGAUGCUCGAAAGCGCGGGUAUCGAACAGGAUUAGAUACCCCAGUAGUC